CAAUAUGGCAUUUUCUACCCAUGUACCAUUACUAUUUGAUAUGAAUAAGCCAUUUGUAUUUUAUAUUUCAAGGUCUUUAAGGGUCACUUAAUUAAGACAGAAUUAUUAUGUUGCUCCUUAAGGGGUUAAUGACAUGUUCCCAUAACUACACACAGUCCUGCAAAGUGAGCAUGGAGCUGCCCAGCUGUAUAAUGGCAGGCUGAACACAGGCCUGUGUGUAAAGGGCACCAAUUACCUUCCAUGUAGCCAUAUAUAAAGUGUAAAAUAUCUA